AUGCAUAAAUAAAAAUAAAUACAUAUUUUAAAAAAGAUUUAAAAAUUCUAUCCUGCAACUCCCUCUUGACUCUGCCUUCCACCCCUAAUGCUGGCACUACAAACUGAGUCUGACCUUUGUUAUUUAUCAGCUGGGCAGUGGUAGUAACCUCCUCCUUUGUUACUCUGCCUUCAGGACAAUCCCCAAUAAAUGACGCACCAGGCUACUGAAGUGCUCUGAGAUGACCUUAGACUCUGCUCUUUCCCGCCUAUUAUAAGACUAAGUCAAAGUUGCCUAACCUGAAAGCCCUUCCCAUGGCUGCUUAAGCUGAAGCCACACCAACAGCAUCACAACCCUCUGUUGUGUACGAAAAGCCCCAGGGGCUUGGGAAGUGGGCUGAUUGAGAAGAGACCAGCAGGCCUUGAGGUUCAUAGCUUGCCUCCACUUCCAGUCUUUCUGCUCCCUGAGUGGUCAACAUGCAGACAAGAAGUCCCACACUCUCCCAUAGCUGCGGGACUUGGUCACAGUGACACACGAGGUAAGAGAAGCGUCACGCUAUGCAGAUAUUGUUUCCAUGCCGACUCUGGUCCUGGCCACUCUGCUUCUACACAGCUCAGCAACUAACUAAUUCCUGUUGGAUUUGACAUCAGCUCUGCGCCAUCUGCCUGAGAAACAUGUUAGCUGUUGCUGCUAUUCACCCCAACCUGCAGAAGUCAGUCCCCCAGUUACCUCAGCAACCCAGAAACUUCUCUCUCACUUCCCUUGACACAAGACAGCAAUGCUUGUGUGUGUGUGUGUUUAGCACAGAGCAUGAAUACUGAAACAGGCCAUAGCUAAUGUAUAAUUUUCCCUAGAGCACACAUAUUAUUAUAUAUUAUUCCCAGGUACACUCCCAGUUAGAGAGAUGAUGAAAACGUUUGGAAGAGCCACAGAGGAGAAUGAGAUGAUCAAGCAAAUCUGAGGCAGGGGGAGAAGAGGCCACUGUACUGAAGACCAAAGGACAGGAGAAAGGAGGGAUGAAAAAUGAAAAUCAUUGUUAUUCCUCUUCUGGCUGGACAGUUUCCCCACCCGUUAUCCUGCACCUGGAGAUGAUUCACCCAUCUCUUGUCAUAGCACGGUGUGUGUGUGUGAGUGGGGGUGGGGGUGGGGACCUACCACAGAUGAAGCAGGUUGUCUUGAGGAUUUCUUCUUUCUUCUGCUUCUCACUUCUGAGGUCAGCAAACGUGUCAAUGAUCACUCCAAAGAUCAGGUUGAGAACGAUGAUGAUGACGAUGAAGAAGAACAGGAGGUCGUAGACUACCCGGGCAGCAAACAAGGGCUCCUGCAACGGAAGCGCAGAACAUACAUAGAACACACGCUCUUGCAACGGAAGCGCAGAACACGCAUAGAACACACGCUCCUCCAGCAGAAAUGCAGAGCACACACAGAACACACGCUCCUACAAUGGAAGUGCAGAACACGCGUAGAACACACCCCUGCUUCACAGCUGUCCAGUUGGCACGCUGUCUGGCAUACAGCAGAUAGUCAACAGCUUUCCUCCAGGAGAACACAAAUAGUGGCCACAGCAAGGAAAAUGGAACGGUUUUCUGUCUUUAUUUUUCCCUCCACUAUGGGAAAAUGUCUUAGGCUUGCUCUCAGGAUUCUUCUAUUUCUCUUUGUGUUUUACACAAUGCCCCCUCCACUCCCCACCUCCGUGCUGUGGUUUAGACGUGGAAUGUCUGCACAGGCUCAUGUGUUUGAACCCUUAGCCCUCACCUGAUGGUGCUGUUUGGGGUGGGUGGAGAAACUGUCAGGAGGUGGCAGCUCAUUGGAGGACAUGGGUCACGGGGUGGGCCCUGAGGCCUUCUAGAACAGACCUGCUCUCUGAUUACUCUCUGCUUCUUAAGGGCAUAAGCAACAUGGCCACCUGCCUUCCCAGCUUCCCACAACACUGUCUCUAACUGAUGUCUUUUUCCCCAGGAUGCUAGAAUGACCCCAACAAAACUUGACUAAAACAAGCCUUUCUUUCCUUAAUUUGCCUGGGUUGGGCAUUUUGUCACAGCAGUGAGCAAAAUCAUCGCACAGGUUUAUCCUGGACACCAAGCAAGAGGGAGUCAGACACAACCCACGGCCAGCUGAGAACCUGGUGAUCUUUCUGCAGUUCCUUUCUUGUUCUUACAAAGUCAAGUGCAUACAGCUCACCUGGACCCUACCUGGACACAGUAUUGAAGCACACUAGAGACCACGGGAUCCAGUUGUUUAAUGCAAGAGAGCCGAGACUAUUAGCAAGAUAGAUGGAUGUUAUAUAACAGGCCAGCUGCAGAAGAAAACUGUGGGUGCUUCUAGCCUGUGCCUCAACGUUCACAGUUCCUGAGAAAUGUUUUCGCUUUGCAGUUUCAAUGUAUGAAAUCCUGUUGGAACUCACCCACCCUCUGUACUCAUCAAUGUGAGUAAUGGAGGCUCUGCCUAUGCGGAAGCAGAGUAAAGCUUUGCACCUGGGAA